CGAGUAGAUUGCAGCAAGGAUGACUUGCCGGAUUUGCAAGUUGUCUUUGGCUACAUUUCGCUCCCU
rnacentral:pre_miRNA from 1 species